UCAGGCCUAACACAUGCAAGUCGAACGAACCCUUCGGGGUUAGUGGCGCACGGGUGCGUAACGCGUGGGGAUCUGCCCUUUGCUUCGGAAUAACAGUUAGAAAUGACUGCUAAUACCGGAUGAUGUCGCAAGACCAAAGAUUUAUCGGCAAAGGAUGAACCCGCGUAGGAUUAGCUAGUUGGUGGGGUAAAGGCCUACCAAGGCGACGAUCCUUAGCUGGUCUGAGAGGAUGAUCAGCCACACUGGGACUGAGACACGGCCCAGACUCCUACGGGAGGCAGCAGUGGGGAAUAUUGGAGCAAUGGGCGAAAGCCUGAUCCAGCAAUGCCGCGUGAGAGAGGAAGGCCUUCGGGUUGUAAAGCUCUUUUACCAGGGA
rnacentral:rRNA from 1 species